GAAUGUGUUCUGCUUAGCGCAUGCGUCCACAGCGGGGAAGAGCGCGAACUGGUUUGCGUUGGCCGCGUUCGGCCGCUGGCGCAUGCGCAGUGAAAUAAGGAGAUUGAAGAAAAGAAGUUACAACUUACCCAAGACUACUGAAGGUGUCAAUGUCAGAAGCGGCAUUAGAAUGCAGGAGUUCCUACUGUUUUAUUCAGCCCAUUUUGUGCCUCCCUCUAAUUGGUAAAAGAAACAUGAGCUGUGUGGAUGCAAAGAGCCAAAGGAUUUGGGGAGCUUGUUGAAAAGCAGACAAAUGAGGUUGUGCUUGUGAUCUGCCAUAGCUUCUGCCGUGAUCUCCGCAUCUGUACACCAGAAUGGCAUAAGAUGUGAUGCUGAUCCCUGUGAAUCGAGGUGAACCAACCCCGCACUGGGACAACAGGAACAGACCAAUCACUGUGGGCCCAGAAGGCCAUUCCCCCUUUCCCCUUCUGCACAUGCUCCAGGUGGAAGAGCCAGAUAAAAGGAGGCAGCCCAGCUCAGUUGGGGCUGGCUGUGGAGGUGGAAGGAUGUGUACUGCAGGCUCCUCCAGAGGUGCUGGUGGUGCUCCAGGUGGCAGAGCCCAUGGACCCAGACUAUGCUGUGGAUGACUCAUGGACUGUAGAGACUGAUGGGGAUGCCAAGCUGCCACCAGCUGAGGAGCUGCCUGGGACACAAUUUAUGGUAGGAAGUGAUCCAGGAUGUAGUAGAAGCUGAUGCCUAAAUCUUUAAUGGGGAAGUCUCUGACUUCAUAGGGCCCUGGGUUGGAACCCAGUGGCGCAGGUGGGGCUGGAUUCCCCUACUACAGGCCAUUAGGCUUGGCUGUUUGCACUCAGCCCCAGCCCAGAGGCUCAGGGGCUACACGCUGUUUGAUUGCCCUGUCCUGCUCAGUGGCUACAGACUGAUUGUUUUUCUGCCUUGCCCAGAGGGCCAGAACCCCAAUUGCUACUGCCUGCCCCCGUGAAGAGGCUUAGGGGCCAUAGAUUAUUUGUUUGCCUAGCCCUGCCUGGGGGCUCUAGGCUGAUCAUUGUUGUGCCCUGCCCAGAGGGCCAGAUUGCCAAUCAUUGUUGUCAGCCAUAUCCCAGAGGCUCAGGGGCUACAGACUGUUUGCUUGACCCCACCAGAGGUCCGGAACUCACUGUGCUGCAAUUACCUGCUCUAACAGGCAAUCCUGACAACGGGGUGUACCAACUGGGCUGCCCAGCUGGACAAACAGUCGUCCCCCUGCCUUGUCAUAAUUAUCAAAGUGAAAUGCUUCACAAUAUCAAAAUGAAACAUUUAGAUGGCUUCAAAUUGAUUUUUUUUUUAAUUUCCAGUUUGUGGCAAAUUUCAGAAUUUCAGCCUUUUGUUAUGAUUCUAAACAAAAACAAAUGUUGAAAUAUCAGAAUUUACCACAGAAAGAAAAACUUGUUUUCUAGCCAGCUUGACUGACUUUUUUUUUUAAAGAAACAUUUUGAUCAGUUUUCUGCAUACACAUUUCAGUAUGGGUUUAUCCCCGUCUGAGUGCUGAACUAAUUGUAUCCAUUAACAGUGCCAAGAUUUACUGUGCAGUAAAAAUAGUUGUUAUACACAUCCCAUGCUCUGCACAUUUACUUAAUAAACUUGUUUUACAUAUGAUAACAAAGCUAUUGAAAACAUAAUAGAAAUAUCAAAGUUUUGCAGAUAUUUUUCUUAUUAAAAUUAUGAAUUAAAUCCCCUUGCAAAAAUGAUGGGUUAAGCAAUAGAUAUCAACUUAAAAAUCAAAUUUCAUGUCCCAUCUGCAUGAGAGACCUUGGUUACAGACUUUUAUUGACUAAGUCUGAGAUUAGAAGAAAUAUGAUGCCCUGGUUUCACCCAACUGCAACCAGUCUGCCAUGAGUUAACAUCCUGCAGUGACUGGAAAUGGAAACUAAGAGGUGAUGAUAAUGAAAAUAUGAGUCUUGUGCUACCUGUUAUCCAGCACCAGAAAAAAAUGUGAAGUGAUUUUUAAAAUCAAAGGAAACAUUACUGCAGAUGUACUGGUAUAAAAAUCAAAUGCUUGUAAUGCAUGUCUCAUAUUUUUUUUAUUUCUUCUUGGAACCACAGUGAGUAGAAAAUGAACAAGGAAAUGGGAACAGGUGCAUUAUUUAACCCCUCCCUCCAGCAACGGCAGCACAAAUCAUUGGUGUACUAGUUAUGCAAAUACUGAUCGCCAGAUAAUGCUGUUUGUUAUUCAAGUGUAUGUUGAUUAGCCUACAUGUUUGUAGAAACAAUUUAUAGGAGGCGAUACAUAUUUGGUUUCAAACUUUAAUUAAAUCAAAGUAUGGAUUAGAUGUGCCCCUGGGAUCUGCUACUUUGUCACCAAAAAGACUAUGAGAAGCUUGAUAAGUCUUUAAACAAAUAUUUUUAACUCACCAAAACAUCUGUGAAGGGUUUGGCACCAGCUUUUGAAUCCUAUUUUGCACCUCAUCCAAACCUCCCAAAGUUCCUUGUUGGCCUAGUAAACCCCUAUAUCAAGCCACCUUAUCAGGCCCCUACUCUUUAUUACUUUCCUUUUUACAACAUCCCAUUUGGCUUGCGAGAGUUUGUCCAGGAAGGAGGAAAUUAACUGUAACUUCAUCAACCAACUGGGCAGGCUUCAGCUGCAGUCAGUUCUAUUUAAACAAGUUUAAAAGUUGAUCAAGCAAAACAGGCUAAAUGAAGUUAGUUACCAUUGAUGGGAGUUGCAAUCAAAUCCUUUUCAGGCAGUGAUUUGCAUUCAUGUGCCUAGUGAUGCUAGGCAUUGGCCUAUGAAGUCUCAUUAGAUAACUCAAACUGUGCCCCUGGAUUUAGGGAGAUACAGGGUAGUCCCUGGUGGAACAGUGCCAGACUCUCAUGAAAAUGUGCAUGUAGCUUCUUUUUUUUGGAGUUGGGGCAGAGAGAGGGCAGGCCUGAAAAGAUGUAGUGCCUGACCCUCUUGUUGUUUUUAACCAGAGUAGAUGGGAUGAAAAAUUCUUUUAUAAAUUAGUUCAGAAGUCUGGCUGUCGGGAGAUUCUAGAUUGGUGUUGCUAGUAAGUAUGGAUGUACCUCAAACCCUGGAAUCCUGGGCCCAGGAGCCUGGUGACAGUGAGAUGCAGUACAGAGAAGACUGUUACAGUUCUCCCAAUACCACCUCUGAAGGGAUCUGUUUCUAAGAAAUUUUGGGCCUGAGAUGGUGGUGAAGGAAGCAGCCCUCCACAUUCAUCUCCUUCUCCUGUAGAUGGUAUGAUUGGCCCGCAAAACCUUUAGGUCACAAGGGACAAACCAGAUGGUGCUGAUUGGUGCAGAUAACACAGCAAAGGUGUCGUAAAUUAACAUGCACAAGACUAGCCCAUGAUCCUGAUGGGCUGGGCAGAAUCCCAUCUGAUAACCCUCAAAAUGAUAUGCCUGGCUAGCAUGCACAACCUCGAAACAGGCUAGGUGAGUGUGAAGGGGUCAACUCACUGGUGGCACUUCGUUGUGACUGGCCAUGGCAUGGCAGUUCGCUCU